UCAAAGAAAAUCUUGUUGCUGAUGCAGGCAUAGAAGAAGGUGACACCCGGGUCAUGCCAGGGAGCCACAUAAAGCUCCCAGUGUUGGCUCAAAGGACAAGGAUCACAGCUGAAGGGAAGGGGUGGCCAAAGAGCCUCGGCAGACAGCAAUCCCGUGGCAUCUACUUUGCCAAAUGCUAAAAGAGUGUCAAAGGGGAGCCAGGAGAGAAUGAAGACCCCGAUGGCUUCUCCUUUCUCCAAGUGACAAAGAGUUAGAAGACCUAGGGUGCUGGAUUCAAGGGAGCAGUGAGCACACGAGAAGCAUUGUCUGAGGAUGAGGAGACAAGUUCCCGGCGCUGACACCUCUGUGGGCAGUAUGACCCGCUGCUGUUGAACACCUUCUCUCGGGAUUCUGAUCAAUCUUUUGGAAUAAUAUUGAUUGAAAUUUUUUUAAACAUAUUUUAUUUUUAAUUUAUGUGUAUAUCUGUGUAUCUCUGUGUGGGUUAGUGUACACAAGUUCAGGUGCCAGCCGAGGCCAGAGGCAUCAAAUACCCGGGAGCUGCAGCGACAGGUGGUGCAUCUUGACUUGAGCUCUUUAGACACAAUCAUCCUCCAUCUAAUGAAAAUCUGACCAACCUAGUCUGCACCAGCACAAAUGAGAUUCCCGUGGAGGUCAACAGGUGCAGAUGGAGCUUCUGGUCAAAGUGGCGUCUGGUGCAGGUCUGACCACGUCUUGCAGGCUGAAUACAUCUGUGGAGGUAUCAGUGUGGUGCUGUUCUACAUGACGGAGUUUAAACUAGCCCUGUGUAAUGAUGAACCGAGACAACCGGAUCCAAAUGUACUUUGGAAUCCAUUAAAACGAGAAGACAGAGGCCGAAGCUCACACCUGAGACGGAACUGAGGAUAAUCCACAGAGAAGGAUGGGAUGAGGCAGGAUGGAGAGGGCACAGAAUGGACUUUCGGAAUAGUUCUGCGGAAGCCAGCUGCAAUGUUUAAAGAGCAGGCUGUCAUGUGGCAUGGUGUUGCUAUAGAAUACUGGGUGAGCCAGAAGAGAGUCCCUCUGGCUUGCUCACAUUGGACCUGCAUGGGAUUUACUGGCUAGGCUGGGUCUGGUAAUCCACACACAUACGGCAAAGAACAACCCUGCCAGGUGUCCAUGCUUGUUUAGGAAAGGGCAGUUGCAGGAGUGGAGAGCAUGGAGAAAAGAAAGCAGAGUUGUUCUUUUCCUUUUUAGCUGUCCUUGCUUAGUGAGUGGCAGCCAUUUUUAUACAAGCAUGCUAGCAUUUUUUUCAUUACACCCAGCAGUGAGUUAAAUGCUUCACGUUCCGAACACACAACCCUAGAGCAACCAUGCUUAUUAUUCCUCCCUUAUACAUUGUCAAUCUGAGGAAGAGGCCCAUCCAUAAUCUAUCCAACCGUGUGGUUUGGAAGCGGUAGAGCUGAGAGUCAUACCUAGGCCCACGUGACACCAGAACCCAUUGCUCUGUGUCACUAUAUUUCACCUCCUCUGGAGGCCACCAAAUGUUCCCCUUGGAUUCCGGACUGGAGUGGACUGUGGGAAGAACUUGGGUUGUUAGGAAUCGUGGCCUAACCCUUGGAACUUCGCCUGGGUGAAGACUGACAGUGCUCAGCACACAUCCUCUCUGGGACCACGUGACACUCUCCCUCCGUGCCACCAGUGACGUGGCUGAGACGUGCAUCCCAGUAAGAGGGUGGGAUGAGAGAGGGAAGCAAAGCCAUACCUCCUCCGAGAACCGGAAGCGUCCUUCAGCUUGACCACCCGAUUUCACCACAAGGAACUGAAGGUUGAUUUGUUAGAGAUGAUAAAGGGGCACAUUCAUAUUUUCCCAUGGCUGAGGGCUGUUGGCCAGAGUCAGGCAGCUUAGAUGGGAGAAGAAAGCUCAGAGGGGCGCAAGAGGGGAUGCAUCAUAAGGAAAGGCAAAGUAAGUUUUAAAAAAAAGGUCCCCCCCCUUUCUCCCCUUUCUUGCCUCUGUCCCUGUCUUCCUUUUCACUCAAUGCCAUUAAGUGAUGGAAGGGCUUUUUCUGGGAACAGGACUUUGAUUGAAAAUGUGUGAGCCAGAAUAAUGUUCUGUUUUAAUAAUUUAUAUUUACAGUACUGGGUGGGAAGCAAGGCUUGUGUCCUAUGGUCUGUGUCAAUAUUAGAGUCUAUAAUCGUCUUCUAUAAUCUCUCUUUUCCUUCUCCCAUUUGUCAUUGACAUUCUGGAAGAGGAGAGCUGGAACUUUAAAGAUAACUAUAUUUCCUUGCUAUAAGUGCUACUCACUCCUUGGGUAGGAUGGGCUUUAUUUUAAAAAAAGAAAGAAAGAGAGAG